CUACGCUUUUACUUCGCCCUUAAGAAACAACAUUACUGAUCCAAUUAGGCAAACGUGACCCACGGGCCCCAAUUUUCCAACGUGCAAAGGUGCUUUGAGCAGCGGGAGAGCAAAGCAUUUCCAUGAAAGCUGCAGUGGGAAAAAGCUCGGAUUCUCAAUUACUUGUUAAAUAAUUGUCAUUACUUUAUGAUCAAAGCAAUAAAGGAGGGCGAGCUUUACGAUGGUGGGAUUGAUUGGUGAUGAAGCAACUUCAAUCUACUCCAUUCGACUGAAUCUGAUCCGUCCCCUCUCACCUUUACUCAUUAAAUAUAAGACAACUUUUUAAUCCAAUCCAAUGGUUUAUGUACGACAUUGAAACUUCGGAACAUUUGUUUUAAAAGAAUACCAAAAGAAGAAAUGGUUGCAGGAUCAACAGUGGUGAAGGUAGACCAUACCAAACUCUAAGCUACAAUUGAAUGCAAUGAAGGAAGGUAGUUCAUCCAAUUCAAGUUGAAUUCAAGUGAAGGUUUAUAUAGUUCACUAACCGAUCGUUGUAGUUUUGGAACGGUUCGAGGUCUGCGAUGCAGCGGCCAUUCGUUCCUUCCUUAAUCUGAGAUCAUCCAACAGCUUCUGAGCAAAAUCUGAUCUCUUUGCCAUGUCGGGUUUUUCGGGUGGGAACUCACGGGAACUUCUCUUCUACCAAGCGAGGGAGUGUCUUUACAUUGUUUUUUAGGCUAUUUCUAAGUGGAAGAAGAAGAUUGCUGUGAUUUCUUUUCAUUGUGGUUGGAAAGGUUCUCUCAUGGUUGGGUGAGAUGGGAAAUGUGUUUUGAACCAAAGAAAAUCAAUGGAAGUUUGAAAUUUUGGGUUUUAAAAGGUUGACGUUAAAGUCUCUCUCACACUGUUUCAUUUUACUUUCAUUACAAUUUAAGCAACAGCGAAGAUAUUGAAGGGCUUCUCAUCCAAGCCUUCUGUGUCA